GGAAUCUUGGACAAUGGGCGAAAGCCUGAUCCAGCCAUGCCGCGUGGAUGAUGAAGGCCCUAGGGUUGUAAAAUCCUUUCGUUGGGGACGAUACUGACGGUACCCAAAGAAGAAGCUCCGGCUAACUUCGUGCCAGCAGCCGCGGUAAUACGAAGGGGGCUAGCGUUGUUCGGAUUUACGGGGCGUAAAGCGCGUGUAGGCGGACUUGUAAGUUGGGGGUGAAAUCCCGGAGCUCAACUCCGGAACUGCCUCCAAAACUACAAGUCUGGAGCAAGAUAGAGGCAAGUGGAAUUGCGAGUGUAGAGGUGAAAUUCGUAGAUAUUCGCAGGAACACCAGUGGCGAAGGCGACUUGCUGGAUCUUUGCUGACGCUGAGACGCGAAAGCGUGGGGAGCAAA
rnacentral:rRNA from 1 species